rnacentral:rRNA from 1 species
UGCAAGUCGAGCGCGUAGCAAUACGAGCGGCAGACGGGUGAGUAACGCGUGGGAAUCUACCCUUUUCUACGGAAUAACGCAGGGAAACUUGUGCUAAUACCGUAUACGCCCUUCGGGGGAAAGAUUUAUCGGAGAAGGAUGAGCCCGCGUUGGAUUAGCUAGUUGGUGGGGUAAAGGCCUACCAAGGCGACGAUCCAUAGCUGGUCUGAGAGGAUGAUCAGCCACAUUGGGACUGAGACACGGCCCAAACUCCUACGGGAGGCAGCAGUGGGGAAUAUUGGACAAUGGGCGCAAGCCUGAUCCAGCCAUGCCGCGUGAGUGAUGAAGGCCCUAGGGUUGUAAAGCUCUUUCACCGGUGAAGAUAAUGACGGUAACCGGAGAAGAAGCCCCGGCUAACUUCGUGCCAGCAGCCGCGGUAAUA